UCCAUAAUGAACAUAUUAAGUGCCAGCCAUUUAUUGUGGGAAUGGAUGGAAAAGGGAAUCAGGUGAGAUGCCUGAGCGAUCCGGUCACUGUAUCAGAGGAGUGAAGUCUCGAGAAUCCAUUGUGCGCAGUGCGCAUGAGAAGGAGAGACAGAGCGAUGAGCCUGGAGCCAGGAAACCUGCUUAGUAUGGCGAGGUGAA
rnacentral:ncRNA from 2 species